UGCCUCUUCUCCCUAGAUCUAGUCCCGCGCCAGGGUCUCCCCCUCGAGGAGGGCGACGACUCCCGCCUGCCUCUUCUCCCUAGAUCUAGUCCCGCGCCAGCCCCUCUCCUGGCGGCCUCCCCCUCCCGCCUGCCUCUUCUCCCUAGAUCUAGUCCCGCGCCAGCCCCUCUCCUGGCGGUCUCGCUCUGUCACGGCCCAGACCCUUGCGAGCGCCCUGGGCUCCAGCUAAGUCGACCCCGUGCUGCUCCCUGGCCUCUCUCCCUCCACUGAUGCCCUUAGAGGCAGCCAGAAGGCUGGGUCUGGAGUUCAAAUUCAGCCUCAAAACUGGAGUAGCUGUGCGACCCUGGACAAGGCUCUUAGCUCUGCCUCAGUUUCCUCCCCUGUAAAAUGGGGACGAGAACAACAGCACCCAGAUUGGCAUGAGGAUGAAGUGAGAUAGCGUCUGCCAAGCGUCCCAUCCCUCGGGAACCUCUCUCUGGG
rnacentral:lncRNA from 1 species